UCUCCAAGGGAACACCGCGUAAUUAGUCAAAACCCUGUGGGAUGCACGCGCAGGAGCACUCGUCGCCGGAAGUCAUGAUGCUACGACCCACGUGAUUUAGCACGCGUGCGCAGUAGGCCCAUCUCGCAGCUGUGUUGUGGAAAUGGUGGAGAAGAAAACUUCGGUUCGCUCCCAGGACCCUGGACAGCGGCGGGUGCUGGACCGGGCAGCCCGGCAGCGGCGCAUCAACAGGCAGCUCGAGGCCUUGGAGAAUGACAACUUCCAGGACGACCCCCACGCGGGCCUCCCCCAGCUGGGCAAGCGGCUGCCUCAGUUUGAUGACGAUGCAGACACUGGAAAGAAAAAGAAGAAAACACGAGGUGAUCAUUUUAAGCUCCGCUUCCGAAAAAACUUUCAGGCCUUGCUGGAGGAGCAGAACCUGAGUGUGGCUGAGGGUCCUAACUACCUGACGGCCUGCGCGGGACCCCCGUCCCGGCCCCAGCGUCCCUUCUGUGCUGUCUGCGGCUUCCCCUCCCCCUACACCUGUGUCAGCUGUGGUGCCCGGUACUGCACUGUGCGCUGUCUGGGCACCCACCAGGAGACCAGGUGCCUGAAGUGGACCGUGUGACCCUGGGCGUCCCCAGAGAGGAAGACCCUGUGCAUCGCCCGGCCUCGGAGAGAGCAUCACCGAAAGAAAAGAUGCUCCUCCCGGGCCAGGAGGGCAGCCCAGCAAAGCCCGUGUCCUCUUCUCCAGGGAGACCAGCCUUGCUUCCAGGGUCGGAGGCAGGGUGGUGCCUGAGCCCUCAGAGUGCAGUUGUAAUAAAAGGCAUCAAAAAGUGGCUGGCUGUCGCCUUCCCCUGGAAUCUGGUCAGACUUACGACUGCUUGGACCAGUAGACAGUGGUAGAAGAGUGAUCAUGGGACAUGAAAGGCCAGAUGGUAAAAGGCAGUGCAGCUUCUGCCCCGUCCCUCGAUUCUUGCCUUUGGAGCCCUCGGCCACUUUGUAAGAAAUCCUGCCGUCCUGAAGCCGCCAUGCUGUGAGGAAGCCCACUGUGUGCAGGUCCUCCCGUUGACAGGUCCAGGUGAGCAAGCCUUCAAGCCAUCCCAGCCCAGGCUUCCAUCAUAGGAGUGAAGCUGCUUCCUGAUGAUUCCAAACCCCAGACAUCAAGUCACCCUCACCCAUUUGAGUCUUCCUAGCUGUGUCCUCAACAUCUUGGAGCAGACACUGGCCAUCUCUGCUCUAAAUUCCUGACCUACAGGAUCCAUGUGUAUAAUAAAACGGUUUAUGCCUUUGAGCCUUG